UUCGUAGGCGGUGUGGCAAGUUGGGAGUGAAAUCUCUGGGCUCAACUCAGAGGCUGCUUCCAAAACUGCCGUGCUGGAGUGUGGGAGAGGCGCGUGGAAUUGCAGGUGUAGCGGUGAAAUGCGUAGAUAUCUGCAGGAACACCCGUGGCGAAAGCGGCGCGCUGGACCACUACUGACGCUGAGGAACGAAAGCUAGGGGAGCAAACAGGAUUAGAUACCCUGGUAGUCCUAGCCCUAAACGAUCAGGACUUGGGGUGUCUCGCGUACGCGAGACGUCCCGGAGCUAACGCGUUAAGUCCUGCACCUGGGGAGUACGGUCGCAAGACUGAA
rnacentral:rRNA from 1 species